GUCGAACGGACAGGUAAUGAAACCUAGUGAUUUAUCUGUUAGUGGCGGACGGGUGAGUAACGCGUGGGUAACCUGCCGUAUACAGGGGGAUAACACUUAGAAAUAGGUGCUAAAACCGCAUAAGCGCACAGGAUCGCAUGGUCUGGUGUGAAAAACUCCGGUGGUAUACGAUGGACCCGCGUCUGAUUAGCUUGUUGGCGGGGUAGAGGCCCACCAAGGCGACGAUCAGUAGCCGGCCUGAGAGGGUGAACGGCCACAUUGGGACUGAGACACGGCCCAAGCUCCUACGGGAGGCAGCAGUGGGGAAUAUUGCACAAUGGGGGAAACCCUGAUGCAGCGACGCCGCGUGAGUGAAGAAGUAUUUCGGUAUGUAAAGCUCUAUCAGCAGGAAAGAAAAUGACGGUACCUGACUAAGAAGCCCCGGCUAACUACGUGCCAGCAGCCGCGGUAAUACGUAGGGGGCAAGCGUUAUCCGGAUUUACU
rnacentral:rRNA from 1 species